CCAAGCUGUAGGAAACAAACAUGCCGCUCAUUUCUGACACAGUUAUUGUAUAACAAGAGCCUGAUAAUCUCCAGGAAAGGCUGACACCAAGUGAGCUGCGUCCUUGCAUCAUCUUGUUUUUGCUUUAAUAGUCGUGACUCCACCUCAGAAUAUUCCUGCAGCUUCAGUUGCCAGGAGGAAUGACAUCAUGCACAUCUGUAUAUAGCUGCAAGAGGAAGGUGAAGGUCGGGGAGGAAGGCUCACACCUCCGCACUGGUGGGCUGACACCAGGCACCCACCUCCACCAGACGUGGCUGGAAAGCUGUGCCUGCAUGGAAACUCCUGGUGGGUCAGACCAUAAAUCAUAAAUCAAUUUGUUCAAAAAUUAGGCUUAGUGUUCUGUGGUUUGCUUCGGUUUUUAAGCCAGCCCUCCCUUUUCCCUUCCUUCUCCCACUCUCCAACAAAAAUCCAGGAGGUGGUUCUGAGUCGCCCAGACCAAAUGCAAACAGCCAGAACAACAAAAAAGUGAGGAUUACAGCAGCUGGAUUUACUCUUUUCUGACUUUUUUUCCUUUUAAUUAUAUUUUUUUUUUAAGAAAAAAAAUCUAUAUCCAAAUAUGUUUUCGAGUUGAAACAAAGUCAGGAUCUACUGUAUGUCUGUGUGCCCUCAAGUCUGUAGGAGCAGCUCCUCACCAGUUGCACCCAGCUGGAGGAUGGGAGCCUGGCAGGCUACCACCUUCCCUUCCCAGCAGCCAUGGGAGCCCAUGGAAAGCAGAGCAUAAAUUCAAACCAUUUAAAGAGUGAUUAAGACUUCUCCUGAUUACUGCUCUGCAUGGUAUUGAAUGGUUUGGAUGGUGGUGAUUUAUUGAAGUAAUAUAUAAUAUGCUCCGUUCGGUUAACGGUCCCCAUCAAGCACAAUCCAGAUGAAUAAAAAAGUAAAAAGAGGGAGAGAGUGUGCUGUAAGAGGAAAUCUCCUUGGAUUUAAGAGAAAUUGAAAUAUGUACAUGGUAAUCUGUGUCCAAAGCUUUUAGCACUUCAGAAAGUGCCAGUUGCUAAUACCUCUGGCUAAAGGCAGCGUUACGUGGAUGGCUGACGAUCCCAGGGCCUUCCUCCUUCCCUCCACCACUGACACCUGGCUCCUCCACCUGGCCUACCCUGCGGCAGAUGCUGGGUUUUUUGUUAAUAUCUGUUUUAUUCCAUGAUGCAG
rnacentral:lncRNA from 1 species